rnacentral:lncRNA from 1 species
GGAAAUGUCAAGUUUAAACUCUGGUUCCUUCAACAGCUUUACAGUCCUUUCCAUUCCUCCCAUCUGCUCCUGACACAUUUUAUGGAAAUAAAUGAAGUAUGAACAGCACGUGCCCCCAGUGGCUGGGGGGACAUGGCAGCAACAGGAACAGGGCAGUGUCUUUCAGAAUACUUAAUCUGCCCUCACAACAGCUGUUUAGUAUUUGUGGAAAUAUCUCAAGCCCUAGGAUCUGCACUGGAAGCUUUGGCAUCACCAUCCAAAAGCAAUGCAAGAUGCUGGGCUGCGUUCUGGUCAGUCUGCAUGUUCGCAGCGAGUGAGAUCUCGGAAUGGCGUGUGCUCAUUGAGCCUUGCUUCAGUUCCAUGGAUUGAAUUCUCUACCAUCUAUGCAUGAAGCACCUCUCCUUCAUCUGGUCUUCAGUGCAAACUCCAGCUGGAAACCAUUUCUGGUGAAAGAACUAUUCCUGAUGUUCAGCUUUCUAUCCUUAGCUGAUUCUCCCACUCUGACUGACAACCUUAAUAGUUUGAGAGAGAGAGCAGAGAGUGGUCAGCUGUUGAGAUUAAAGGGAUAUUUACCUAUGUGUUAACUGAGGUCCUACUCCUGUACUCCAUAGUGGGAUUUACAAAACCUGUCACACUAACAAAUGUAGUAAAAGAGAGGAUUCAGUCAACUGCUGUGCUCCUAUGCUGACUACAGAAGUGCUUUUGCAGCAUGGGAGGGGGCCUGGUUUGGAUGGGUGGUGACAUUGUUAUACAUGCCAACAAGAGCUUGGCUUGCUUGAGAAGCCAUAUGGUGGGUUUCAAUGCUCG